CGGGACGGGUGAGUAACGCGUGGGUAACCUGCCUCAUACAGGGGAUAACAGUUAGAAAUGACUGCUAAUAACCGCAUAAGCGCACGAGAUCGCAUGAUAAAGUGUGAAAAACUACCGGUGGUAUGAGAUGGACCCGCGUCUGAUUAGCUGGUUGGUGGGGUAACGGCCCACCAAGGCGACGAUCAGUAGCCGACCUGAGAGGGUGACCGGCCACAUUGGGACUGAGACACGGCCCAAACUCCUACGGAAGGCAGCAG
rnacentral:rRNA from 1 species